rnacentral:lncRNA from 1 species
CUUCUUGUGCUCCUCCAAACAGAGGCCUGUGAUCCUUCGUGGCAGCAUCCCUCCGUCAGAACGGAUAAACUGGCUCAACAGCAACACAUCCACAUAAUCGUACUUGUGCUUCAGGUUCCAGCGACAGAUAGGACACUGGCCAGAGGGGUUAGGAGGUGUUGGUGUUUCAGUAUCCUCUAUAAUUUUCCCUUCAAUUAUGGUCGUGUUGCCUUCAGUCACCUCCACGACUAC